GGGUUUAAGGUAUAUAAUUUGGGUUUAGGGUCUAAGAUUAGGGUUUAGGGUAUAGGGUUUGGGUUUAGGGGUUUGAAUUUAGGGUAUAGGGUUUAGAAUUUAAGAUUUAGGGUUUAGGGUUUCGCUGAAAGCGUUAACGUCGUUAAAAUUAGCGUUUUUAUUUGUUGUAGCUAUUUUUUAUUUAGUUUAAUAUUUUUUAAUUAAUAAUCUAUGUGUCAUUUUGAUUGGUCCUAAAGAGUGGAAUGAAUUUAGGGUGAACAGAAGUGGAAAGAUAAAAUAUGCAAAUAAAUGUUUUUACACUACAAGAGGAAUAAACAAGCAAAUUGCAACCUACACUCCGGUUACUAAUAUUAUCACUCCAUUUUUUUUAAGGACAAAACUUAGGUUAGGGUGAACCUUUAAAUUCACCCCACUCUUUCUGACCAAUCAAAGUGACACAUAGAUUAUUAAUUAAAAAACAUUAAAUUAAAUAAAAAAUAGUUACAAAAAAUAAAAACACUAAUUUUAACGACGGUAACGGAUCCAGCGAAACCUUAAAUCCUAAAUCUUAAAUUCUAAACCCUAUACCCUAAAUUCUAAACCCAAAUCCAAAUUCAAACCCCUAAACCCAAACUCUAUACCCUAAACCCAAAUUAUAUACCUUAAACCCAAAAAAUAGACUAUAAACCUAAACCAUAUACCCUAAACCCAAGUCUUAGACCCUAAACCCAAACCGUAAACCUUAACCCAAACCUAUAACAUCUAAGUUUGGGGUUUGGGUUUAGGGUUUACCGUUUGGGUUUUAGGUCUAGGAUUUGGGUUUAGGGUAUAGGUUUUGGGUUUAGGAUUAACCGUUUGGACUUAUGGUUAAGGUUUUGGGUUUAGGGUAUAUAAUUUGGGUUUAAG
rnacentral:lncRNA from 1 species